GACGAACGCUGGCGGCGUGCUUAACACAUGCAAGUCGUACGGUAAGGCCCUUUCGGGGGUACACAAGUGGCGAACGGGUGAGUAACACGUGAGUAACCUGCCCACAACUUUGGGAUAACGCUAGGAAACUGGUGCUAAUACUGGAUAUGUGCCCCUGCUGCAUGGUGGGGGUUGGAAAGCUCCGGCGGUUGUGGAUGGACUCGCGGCCUAUCAGCUUGUUGGUGGGGUAGUGGCCUACCAAGGCGGCGACGGGUAGCCGGCCUGAGAGGGUGACCGGCCACAUUGGGGCUGAGAUACGGCCCAGGCUCCGACGGGAGGCAGCAGUGGGGAAUAUUGCACAAUGGGCGCAAGCCUGAUGCAGCAACGCCGCGUGCGGGAUGACGGCCUUCGGGUUGUAAACCGCUUUCAGCAGGGACGAAGCUUUUUGUGACGGUACCUGCAGAAGAAGCACCGGCUAACUACGUG
rnacentral:rRNA from 1 species